rnacentral:ncRNA from 1 species
CUUAUCAAGAGUGGCGGAGGUACAGGACCUGUGAAACCACGGCAACCACCCUGCGGGGAACGGUGCCAUUUCCUACGACGUUUUUAACGAUCGAGAGAUGAGG